rnacentral:rRNA from 3 species
UUCCCGUACUUGGUGUUACUGCGAAGGGGGGACGGAGAAGGCUAUGUUGGCCGGGCGACGGUUGUCCCGGUUUAAGCGUGUAGGCUGGUUUUCCAGGCAAAUCCGGAAAAUCAAGGCUGAGGCGUGAUGACGAGGCACUACGGUGCUGAAGCAACAAAUGCCCUGCUUCCAGGAAAAGCCUCUAAGCAUCAGGUAACAUCAAAUCGUACCCCAAACCGACACAGGUGGUCAGGUAGAGAAUACCAAGGCGCUUGA